AAUAGGUUAGAGAUCUUUACUUGAUUUGACGCCGAAAAACUAAAUGGUUUACUGCGCCUAUGGGCGGUCUCUAAGUUUUCUGAAUUUUUUUUCAGAAACUGAAACACGCUUACGGUACCUAUAAAUAUCCCAAAUAAACCCAAAAAUCAGUCCCAGAGCCUACUCGACCAAUUUCAAAAAUCCAGACAGCAGCUCCGCCGUGCUCCGGCGACGGCGCCGACGCUUGUAGCGGCGCUCCGCCUCGGGUUGGCUGUUUUCGGCCGAAUUCAGCCAAAUUUGCAUCAGUUUCGGCGAUAAAACACACUUAGGGCCCUCAAUUGGCCGAAAAACAUAGAAAAUUGAAACCCACUCGCGGCGAGGCUCUCCGGUGCGGCGGCUCCUCUGGCUCACGUUGUAGUUAGGUGUUUUGCUCCAGUCAACCUGUAGAGAAAGAAACGGUGAUCACAAUGGUGGAAAAAUCACAUCUAACGGAAAUCGGGAAGGGCUUCAUCGGAGGCAUUUUUUGAAAUACCAUGUGGCAGCUCUGCCGGGCUUUGCCAGCAUUUUUCGACCAAUCAGCCAGUCCUUUUGUUCCGAUUUGAUCAUGAGUGUGUUUAAAA
rnacentral:lncRNA from 1 species